UACAUAGGGGGCAAGCGUUAUCCGGAUUUAUUGGGUGUAAAGGGUGCGUAGACGGGUAUAUAAGUUAGUUGUGAAAUCCCUCGGCUCAACUGAGGAACUGCAACUAAAACUGUAAAUCUUGAGUGCGGGAGAGGAAAGUGGAAUUCCUAGUGUAGCGGUGAAAUGCGUAGAUAUUAGGAGGAACACCAGUGGCGAAGGCGACUUUCUGGACCGUAACUGACGUUGAGGCACGAAAGUGUGGGGAGCAAACA
rnacentral:rRNA from 1 species